GACGGUAAAUGUACCAUAAAUUCACAGUGUCGACAAAUGAUCGUCGAAUGACCGUCACUUGACUAUCGAACGGCCGUCAUUUGACAGUGAACGACGAGUAUCAUUGUGAAAGUUUUUCACUGUUACUUUAUGAUUUUUAUUCUGUAUAGUUAUCAUACUUCACUAUUCGAAAAACCAAAUUUUUACUCGACUUCUCCGAUUUUUUACCUGAGUAAAAAUCGUAGAUCAUCGAUCGAUCGUCUGUCAUUUGACAGUCAUUCGAAAACAUAUAAAUUGUCAAAAAACCGUAACUCGGUGGUAGAUGCACAGUAGUCUGUGAGUGAAACGAGCGUAUAAUGUCGGAUCAACAGGAAGAAACUACUUACGGUCAUGAUUAUUGCACGCCACUGUGCAGUUGUACAACUAUAAUACGUGGAGAAGCUUUAUUAAUGACGCUUUUGUUAGGAGCAGAACGUUCCCUCACAUGGAAGGCGACUAGGGCAAUUUUAUCAAUGAUUAAUACUUUGUUUGGAGACGAAGUAGUGCCAGCUUCAAAGAUUAAAUUAUUUAAAUUAUUAAAUUUGAAUGAAAAUAUUGUAACUUAUCAUUUGUUCUGUGAAGGAUGCUCAAAUUAUUUUGGUGCUCAGAAUAAAUUAGACAAAAAAAAUAAAGUAUGUGAUGUAUGCAAAGACAACAACAAUCCUCCAGAAAUUUCAUAUUUUCUGACUUUCGAUGUUUCUUCACAACUAAAAAAUAUAUUAGAACAUGCAGAUGUGCGAAAAUUUUUAUUACAACGUUUUGCAAAUGAUGUCGAGAAUAAUUCAGAAAAGAAUUAUAUCUGUAAUAUGAGUGAUGGACGUUUGUACCAAAAUUUAUCAGCAGUGAACAGAACAAUAUGCAAAUAUUGUUCAAAAUAAUAACAAUUAUUCCAUCUCUUACAGACACACCAACAAUCAGAUCUACUGUAAAAUCGCCUUGUCCAUCAAACAAAAUUGGAUUUUGGAAACAAAAUAGAGUGCGAAAAAAUUUAAUUGCACGUGUGUAGUAAAGAAAAACUUGGUUUGAACAAUCUUAGAUUUACUUAUUUAAUUAUUAACUCGAUGGAAUAGUAUAGUUUUAAAAAAUUCCAUUAUUUGUAUGUGUUUUUUAUAGUUUUGUAAGUGAAUUUUUUUAAGUUCAUCAUAUAAUAAGUAGGAUUUAGAGUACUUUUCGCAAAAUGAUAUGCUUAUAUUACAUCAAAGAGAAUUAGAGAAUAAAACUUUGUCAAAUAAUGACUUAAUUUUGCGUUCAUAGCAUAAACUAUAAUGACUUUUAUAUUAUAAAAUUGUUACUAUAAUUA
rnacentral:misc_RNA from 1 species